UACGAAGGGGGCUAGCGUUGUUCGGAUUUACUGGGCGUAAAGCGCACGUAGGCGGAUCGUUAAGUUAGGGGUGAAAUCCCAGGGCUCAACCCUGGAACUGCCUUUAAUACUGGCGAUCUAGAGUCCGGAAGAGGUGAGUGGAACUCCUGGUGUAGCGGUGGAAUGCGCAGAUAUCAGGAGGAACACCAAUAGCGAAGGCAGCUCGCUGGGACGUUACCGACACUGAGGCGCGAAAGCGUGGGGAGCGAACAGG
rnacentral:rRNA from 1 species